CUAGAGGGAAGCACGGGGGGGGACAGAUGGGGUGGUACUAAGACAUUAGGUGUUGAAUAGCCUGGUACCAGAUCUGUUAGUGCUGUCUGACAGAGUGGUACUAAGACAGUAGGUGUUGAAUAGCCUGGUACCAGAUCUGUUAGUGCUGUCUGACAGAGUGGUACUAAGACAGUAGGUGUUGAAUAGCCUGGUACCAGAUCUGUUAGUGCUGUCUGACAGGGUGGUUCUAAGACAGUAGGUGUUGAAUAGCCUGGUACCAGAUCUGUUAGUGCUGUCUGACAGGGUGGUUCUAAGACAUUAGGUGUUGAAUAGCCUGGUACCAGAUCUGUUAGUGCUGUCUGACAGGGUGGUACUAAGACAGUAGGUGUUGAAUAGCCUGGUACCAGAUCUGUUAGUGCUGUCUGACAGGGUGGUACUAAGACAGUAGGUGUUGAAUAGCCUGGUACCAGAUCUGUUAGUGCUGUCUGACAGAGUGGUACUAAGACAGUAGGUGUUGAAUAGCCUGGUACCAGAUCUGUUAGUGCUGUCUGACAGGGUGGUACUAAGACAGUAGGUGUUGAAUAGCCUGGUACCAGAUCUGUUAGUGCUGGGAGAGGAGAUGUCUAGGAGAGGAGAUGUCUAGGGGAGGAGAUGUCUAGGGGAGGAGAUUUCUAGGGGAGGAGAUGUCUAGGGGAGGAGAUGUCUAGGGGAGGAGAUGUCUCGGAGACUAGAUUUCUAGGGGAGGAGAUGUCUAGGGGAGGAGAUGUCAAGGGGAGGAGAUGUCUAGGAGGAGAUGUCUAGGAGGAGAUGUCUAGGAGGAGAUGUCUAGGGGAGGAGAUGUCUAGGGGAGGAGAUGUCUAGGGGAGGAGAUGUCUAGGAGGAGAUGUCUGGGAGGAGGUGUCUGGGAGGAGAUGUCUAGGAGGAGAUGUCUAGGAGGAGAUGUCUGGGAGGAGAUGUCUGGGAGGAGAUGUCUAGGAGGAGAUGUCUGGGAGGAGAUGUCUGGGAGGAGAUGUCUGGGAGGAGAUGUCUAGGAGGAGAUGUCUGGGAGGAGGUGUCUGGGAGAUGUCUAGGUAACAUCAUUGGUAACAUUUUAUAUGAGCUGACACAGUAUCUCUCCUGACCUCAGUCAUUGGUAAC